CUGCUUUGUUGAAACUGUUUUCGUAAUUCGUAAAUAACCGAAAAAUUCGGUUGCGUUGAUGUUCACAAAGUUUUACCUAUUUAUUAUAUUGGAAUAAAAUGUAUUUAACGUGUAUCUCAAAAACUAUAAAAACUCACUAGAGUUGUAAAUUCGACAGUCAAUUUUCCAAAAUAAUUUUUAUUUUUAUCAGCUUUACAAGGCAAUGUUAGGCCAUUGUUCGGAAGAUUUGUUUGCAGAAAAUGCAGCCACAGGUGAUUGAGUCAGGUGUUCAACUAUUUUCAAGAAUAAAACACUCCUCCAGAAAUUUUUCUCUUACUGAUAUAAAUCCAAAAUUAUUUCCAAAAGGCGCGCCUUCCCCUAACGAGAUUAUUGAAGUGGCGGGUGACUUUAAUAAGGAUUUAUUGCUCGAUUUCAUGAUUCGCUGUAUAUUGCCUAAAGAAAUCAAUGAGAACUGGAGAGGCUCUGGAGUAGUGUUUGUUAAUACAACUCAUCACAUAAGUAUUUUGAAAAUAACAACCGUGAUUGACGCUCAGCUCAAACAUUUAAAUAUUGAAAACAGAAAACCAAUAAUUGAGAAAGCUUUAAACAAUAUUACUUUACUUCAUUGUUAUAGCAAUGACCAAACUGAGAUUACUUUGAGAAACUUAGAGAGGAUAAUACAGGAUCGAGAGAACGUCAAUCUUCUCGUUAUUGAUGAUAUCACUUCACAGUUUUGGAUAGCGAGACAGACUGUUCCGAUGUUAAGUUUAGAUCAAUGCGCCAAACAAAAUCUUCAGUUGUUACAAAGUGUGGUAAAAAAUUUAAACAUAUUGGUUAUUUUUUCACGUUAUCAGUCUGAAAAUGUAAAAAGGACUGCUGAUUUACAACUAGACUAUAAAAUUAUAGGUGAAAAAUUAGAAUCCACACAAGGCCAUUUUAUUGUGUUUGAUUAUGUCAGAAAGACGUCACUGAAAACACCUUUUCAAUUAGAAAAAUUUAUUACUUUUACCUAACAAUAUGUGCACAUUAAACAUUAAAACCUUUUAA